rnacentral:rRNA from 1 species
GACGAACGCUGGCGGCGCGCCUAACACAUGCAAGUCGAACGGAGCUGAGAGAAGCUUGCUUUUCUUAGCUUAGUGGCGAACGGGUGAGUAACGCGUGAGUAACCUGCCCUGGAGUGGGGGACAACAGUUGGAAACGACUGCUAAUACCGCAUAAGCCCACGAUCCGGCAUCGGAUUGAGGGAAAAGGAUUUAUUCGCUUCAGGAUGGACUCGCGUCCAAUUAGCUAGUUGGUGAGGUAACGGCCCACCAAGGCGACGAUUGGUAGCCGGACUGAGAGGUUGAACGGCCACAUUGGGACUGAGACACGGCCCAGACUCCUACGGGAGGCAGCAGUGGGGGAUAUUGCACAAUGGGGGAAACCCUGAUGCAGCGACGCCGCGUGGAGGAAGAAGGUUUUCGGAUUGUAAACUCCUGUCGUUAGGGACGAAAAUGACGGUACCUAACAAGAAAGCACCGGCUAACUACGUG